UACGUAGGUGGCAAGCGUUGUCCGGAUUUACUGGGCGUAAAGAGCGCGCAGGCGGUCGGAUAAGUCGAAUGUGAAAGCCCCCGGCUCAACUGGGGAGGGUCAUUCGAUACUGUUCGACUCGAAGGCAGGAGAGGGAAGUGGAAUUCCCGGUGUAGUGGUGAAAUGCGUAGAUAUCGGGAGGAACACCAGUGGCGAAGGCGGCGACCUGGACAGUUACUGACACUCAACUACGAAAGCGUGGGGAGCGAACAGG
rnacentral:rRNA from 1 species